CUUUCUGUAAGUCAGCCAUUACAGAGUAAUAUUAUACACUUAAAACCAGUAUAUCCAUAUUUCUGAUAUUUUCCUAAUGGAAAAGAGGAAAGAAAAAAUAGAUUUCUUAUUUUUCAGGCUUGCUGGUAUGUGUGAAAAAUGAAUGGACUGGCCAGAUUAUAAGGUUAAAGACACUUCCCACUGACUUUAUUUACCUCAUUCUCCUCUUAUCUUUACCUCCUCCCAUUUUUCUUUUUCUCCUCAUUGCUGUCUUCUUUUAAUUUUACCAGUUGCAUUUCUUCUUCCUCUUCUUGUAUAUAUUUUCUGCAGCCAGCUGAGAAUAGAAACCAUGCCAAAUGUGACAGCAUGGACUGUCACAUCAUUGGAGAACCCUAUGCAAAUAGCUGGAUCUACUUAAUUAACCAAUUAAGAUGUUGCUGGGGGUCUGAGGCUCACAAAUGUCAGUGAGAGGGAAAAGACAACAGAGAACCUCAUGAAACUGAGUUACUGUUAAGGGAAAGGAGUUCCAAAGGGGAAGAAGGAGAGAAAAUAUCUUGCUUGGGGAGAGUGGUACACAGAGUAGAGCACUCCUGGAAAGACCAGGAAAUUUCCACAGAAGUAAGAGUUUAUGAAAGAAAUGGAAGUGAAAGAAAUAAUGACAUUGAAAUAAUGAUAAAAUAAAUAUUAAUACACCCCUUUUUAGGAACUGUUACAUCCUUCAGUUUCUUUCAUUCCUUACCUCCACCACUACUUCUUUGGUAUUGGUCAGAUGACUGUGAAACAGUCCUUCCAGAUCAUUUCCUUACUGAUAUGAGAGGUGGGGUGGUCGUGGGGAUCAGGCAGGAACAUGAGCCAGUAAACAGGAAUGAUUGCAGUUUCUGAAAUCAGCAGGGAAGCUAGAUCUCUUUCUAAGAGAAUAUUGUCCACUCCAUGUGAGGGUGUAAGAGGAAAAGGGAGGGGAUAAGAAGAGAAACUGGCAAUUCCUGAAUCUCAUUUUGUUUGGAGAAUACUAUCCUCAAGAAUCAAGGUAUCUGUUCUCCGUUUGUUUUUUUCAUGCAGUUUGUGGAAGACUAAGACAAUGAUGGAAGAGAAAGAGAGGCCCAAUAUGAGGCCAUUCAAUACCUGAUGAGAUCACUUGAAGUCAAGUGAUUUUUUUUUUAGGGGAGGGCCUUGUAUGAGCGCUUAAAACAGGUAUAGGUAGACAAGGUUUGUUGGGUAAAUGUGAUCUCUUUUAUUAGACCAGCUAAAUAGUUGGAAAAAUUCCUGUUUACAAGCUUUUGAG